GAGAAUGCCGGUGUGAGUAGCGAAAGACGGGUGAGAAUCCCGUCCACCGAUUGACUAAGGUUUCCAGAGGAAGGCUCGUCCGCUCUGGGUUAGUCGGGUCCUAAGCUGAGGCCGAUAGGUGUAGGCGAUGGAUAACAGGUUGAUAUUCCUGUACCACCAUGAAUCGUUUUAAGCGAUGGGGGGACGCAGUAGGAUAGGCGAAGCGUACGAUUGGAUUGUACGUCCAAGCAGUAAGACUGAGUGUUAG
rnacentral:rRNA from 1 species